CUUGAAUCCAUUUUACAACUUGCUUAUAAAACUCUGUGAGUUGGCCUCUAAUGGUGAAAGUUUGAUGCUGUCAAAUGUCAAGGGAAUUCAGAUCUCUCUGAGCCCUUCUUCUCCUCCUGCAACCCAAAGCCACAGGUCUUUCCUGGAAGUGGAACAGUCUCCUCGCUACCUUCUGGGGUCAGCAUAUGGAUCUUGUUCAGCCAGUUGUCAGACCCAGUGAGUCAGCAGAGCAAAGUGGCUGGGCCAAGACUGUGUUAACCACCGAGAGGAGACAGAAGCAGGGCUCGUGUACUGGCAGCCAGGGAGCCCGAGUCAUGCAGAACCACGGAGAUCCUAAAAUGUCAUCUCCCAGAACCCAAAUCAGAGACAAAGAACCAGGGACAUCAUUUCACAGUCUCUGGUGA
rnacentral:lncRNA from 12 species